GUCUACAGCCAUGCCACCCUGAACAAGCCCCAUGUCUGAUCUCGGAAACUAAGCAAGGUCAGGGCUGGUUAGUACUUGGAUGGGAGACCACCUAGGAAGACCAGGUGCUGUAGGCA
rnacentral:rRNA from 1 species